GGGAGCAAACAGGAUUAGAUACCCUGGUAGUCCACGCUGUAAACGAUGUCGACUUGGAGGUUGUUCCCUUGAGGAGUGGCUUCCGGAGCUAACGCGUUAAGUCGACCGCCUGGGGAGUACGGCCGCAAGGUUAAAACUCAAAUGAAUUGACGGGGGCCCGCACAAGCGGUGGAGCAUGUGGUUUAAUUCGAUGCAACGCGAAGAACCUUACCUACUCUUGACAUCCAGAGAACUUAGCAGAGAUGCUUUGGUGCCUUCGGGAACUCUGAGACAGGUGCUGCAUGGCUGUCGUCAGCUCGUGUUGUGAAAUGUUGGGUUAAGUCCCGCAACGAGCGCAACCCUUAUCCUUUGUUGCCAGCGGUUCGGCCGGGAACUCAAAGGAGACUGCCAGUGAUAAACUGGAGGAAGGUGGGGAUGACGUCAAGUCAUCAUGGCCCUUACGAGUAGGGCUACACACGUGCUACAAUGGCAUAUACAAAGAGAAGCGACCUCGCGAGAGCAAGCGGACCUCAUAAAGUAUGUCGUAGUCCGGAUUGGAGUCUGCAACUCGACUCCAUGAAGUCGGAAUCGCUAGUAAUCGUAGAUCAGAAUGCUACGGUGAAUACGUUCCCGGGCCUUGUACACACCGCCCGUCACACCAUGGGAGUGGG
rnacentral:rRNA from 1 species